CUGGUCGAGGAAUCCUGGACGAUUUCCGCAACAAUCACCAGUUUUCAUUUUCUCUUUACUUGGCAUGGGUUUGUCAUAUUGAGCGUUUGUGUUCAUAUCACCAAGUGUUUGACUUUUCAACAACUACCUUGUGUUUCAUCCAUCAUUUGAUGCUAGUUCUUAGCUUUUACAACUUUCUUAGCUUGAGAACUAUCUCACACUUCUAUCUCCCCAAGCAUUCUCUUUUGUUUCUUUUCGAACAAGUCUGUCUCUUGACUUACUCUUCUCACUAUGCACCUUCGUGAGUGUAACCCCAAGCAUUCUCUUCUGUUUCUUUUCGAACAAGUCUGUCUCUUGACUUACUCUUCUCACUAUGCACCUUCGUGAGCGUCUCCCCACGCUUUCUCUUCCGUUUCUUUUUGGACAAGUCUAUCUCUUGACUUACUCUUCUCACUAUGCACCUUCGUGGUGGGCGUUUUGGACAAGUCUGUCUCUUCACUUAUUAUUCUCACUAUCCACCUUUGCGAGCGUUGCGGGUUUUCAAAACACUUGGCGAGGUCCGGAAUCUUACCAAAUAAUAACAUUUAACCUCGAGAGACGAGCUCGUGUAAAGUUGGGAAUUCGUUAAGGAGCUGUUGCUUUGUUAGUGUAGAAACACUUGUGUAGAAUUGGGGAUUGUUUUUUUUGGAGUGAUUUAGGGGAGGGUCGAAUCUUAGCGACAAAGGGCUGAAUCUCAGUGGAUCGUGGCAGCAAGGCCACUCUGCCACUUACAAUACCCCGUCGCGUAUUUAAGUCGUCUGCAAAGGAUUCUACCCGCCGCUCGGUGGUAAUUAUAAUUCAAGGCGGUCCGAACGACGCUUCCGCCGAACGGACUUAGCCAACGACACGCGCCUUUGGGAGCCUAAGCUCCUACUGAGGGUCGGCAAUCGGGCGGCGGGCGCAUGCGUCGCUUCUAGCCCGGAUUCUGACUUAGAGGCUAGGGU
rnacentral:misc_RNA from 1 species